rnacentral:rRNA from 1 species
GAUGAACGCUGGCGGUGUGCCUAAUACAUGCCAGUCGAGCGAACAGACGAGGAGCUUGCUCCUCUGACGUUAGCGGCGGACGGGUGAGUAACACGUGGAUAACCUUCCUAUAAGACUGGGAGAACUUCGUGAAACCGGAGCUAAUACCGGAUAAUAUAUUGAACCGCAUGGUUCAAUAGUGAAAGACGGUUUUGCUGUCACUUAUAGAUGGAUCCGCGUCGCAUUAGCUAGUUGGUAAGGUAACGGCUUACCAAGGCAACGAUGCGUAGCCGACCUGAGAGGGUGAUCGGCCACACUGGAACUGAGACACGGUCCAGACUCCUACGGGAGGCAGCAGUGGGGAAUCUUCCGCAAUGGGCGAAAGCCUGACGGAGCAACGCCGCGUGAGUGAUGAAGGUCUUCGGAUCGUAAAACUCUGUUAUUAGGAAAGAAAAAAUGUGUAAGAAACUAUGGACGUCUUGACGGUACCUAAAGAGAAAGCAACGGCUAACUACGUG